UUAGCAUGGAAUAAUGGAAUAGGACGUGUGGUUCUAUGCUCGCUGAUGUAUAGUAGAUAGUAAUGAUUAAUAGGGACAGUCGGGGGCAUCAGUAAUGCUCGCUGAUAGGUGAAUGUCGCUCGUAGUGUGAAGACUAACUACUGCGAAAAUGCUCGCUGAAAAUGUUUUCAUUAAUCAGGAACGAAAGUUAGGGGAUCGAAGACGAUCAGAUACCGUCGUAGUCUUAACCAUAAACUAUGCCGACUAAUGCUCGUAGAUGUUUAUUUUUUGACCCGUUCGGCACCUUACGAGAUGCUCGCUGCUAAUGCUCGCUGAUAGAGUAUGGUCGCAAGGCUGAAACUUAAAGAAAUUGACGGAAGGGCACCACCAGGGGUGGAGCCUAUGCUCGCUGAUGAUGCAACACGGGGAAACUCACCAGGUCCAGACACAAUGAAUCGCUCGUGAUAGAUGAUGCUUUCUUGAUUUUGUGGGUGGUGGUGCAUGGCCGUUCUUAGUUGGUGGAGUGAUUUGUCUGCUUAAUAUGCUCGCUGCAGACCUUAACCUGCAUGCUCGCUGAUGAUAUGCUC
rnacentral:rRNA from 1 species